rnacentral:rRNA from 1 species
CCUACGGGCGGCAGCAGUGGGGAAUCUUGGGCAAUGGGCGCAAGCCUGACCCAGCAACGCCGCGUGAAGGAAGAAGGCUUUCGGGUUGUAAACUGCUUGUCACAGGGACGAAGCAAGUGACGGUACCUGAGGAAUAAGACAAGGCAAACAACGUGCCAGCAGCCGCGGUAAUACGUAGGAGGUAAGCGUUAUCCGGAGUUACUGGGGGUAAAGGGCGGGUAGGCGGGAAAGCAAGUCAGAUGUGAAAACCAUGGGCUCAACCUGUGGCCUGCAUUUGAAACUGUUUUUCUUGAGUACUGGAGAGGCAGACGGAAUUCCUGGUGUAGCGGUGAAAUGCGUAGAUAUUAGGAGGAACACCCGUGGCGAAGGCGGUCUGCUGGACAGCAACUGACGCUGAGGCGCGAAAGCGUGGAGAGCAAACAGGAUUAGAUACCCCGGUAGUC